rnacentral:rRNA from 1 species
AACGAACGCUGGCGGCGCGCCUAAUACAUGCAAGUCGAGCGAGAAGACGUAGCAAUACGUUUGUAAAGCGGCGAACGGGUGAGGAAUACAUGGGUAACCUACCCUCGAGUGGGGAAUAACUAGCCGAAAGGUUAGCUAAUACCGCGUACGCUCCUUGGACUUCGGUUCAGGGAGGAAAGCGAUACCGUGGGGUAUCGCGGCUCUUGGAUGGGCUCAUGUCCUAUCAGCUUGUUGGUGAGGUAACGGCUCACCAAGGCUUCGACGGGUAG